ACCAUGACUUGUUCUCUGGUUUGAUCUCGUGCAGGAUCUUCUUGCAAUGUGUGUGACAAAAUAUACAUAUAUACACCUAUAUACAGAGCGUGCAUUCCUGGGAAAAAUUCGUCUGGAGGAUAAGUGAUGUAAACUAUCAGAGAUCUUCCCCAAGUUAAGUAGAAGGACCCCCAAAAAGAACUAUGACAGCAGAGAUCAUGAAAUUUUAAAAAAAUAUUAUCCAAUUCUAAUGCAGAAACAACAGUUGAUUCCCACAAAUCUACAAAGCACAUAGGACGUAAGGAAAGAAAAUCAACAUACUAACUAAUGCUUAAAUGAGACAUUCAGACAUUAACAAAUGGUAUUCUACCUGAUCUGUAUAUUAUCAAUUAUUUUUCUCCUGAGCUGUAUACACUUCAAGAUGGCAGUGGACUGUUUGGUUUUCAUGAGUUCUAUUGAAGAAGGAUAUUCCAGCCAGAAUUUGGUGACGAGGAGGCUAGAGGCUGCGACACCAUGUGCACAGUGGGAAUUUUCAGCAGAUGAAACAGCUGAAAAGAAGAACCUGGAAAUUUAUCUCAACCAUCCCUAUUCCAUUCAAUGGGACUGCAGGGAUUGUAGCCCUGGACAAAGUUCAUCACCAGAUUUCAUCAUUUGGGCUAUCCAGGUAUUAAAAUAUCUCAAAGUAAUUGUGGAAAUGGUGUCACAGAGCAGCCAAGCAGACAAAUAAAAUUGCUUUUUGGAAAUAUUCCAUAAGACAAAUGGG
rnacentral:lncRNA from 1 species